CAGUAGCCUGAGUUCCUGAGAGUGAACAAGUGAGGGACACACUGGCCUCUCAUGACAUGUGAAAUCAGAGUGAGUUCUUAUCAUGUAAUUGUUGGCUCAACUUUCCCUGUGUAGCUACAAGGAGAAAUGCUUAAACAGCUGAAGACAGACAAGGACAUGCCAACAUACCUUUUGUAGCCAGGCGAACGCAGUUGAUUUUGGUCUCCUGUGAACAACAGAAAUGAGGUUCCAGUUAAUUAGUUGCAGAUACAUACUUGGCUCCUUUCACUUCCUGGCUGCCAUCACCUCAUGAGCUUCUUUUCCAGACAGAACCACUUCUAAACAUAUCAGAUGCUGCUACUACCUAGCACAAGACAACUUUAACAAUGACACAGAGUGA